GGCCAGCGUGUGGUCGACACAUGUGUGUCCGUGAUGUCGAGUAGAUCGAUUUUAUAUAUUUAAACCCUAGGUUUGAGCUAACUAUGGGGGUUUUAUUUAGGUUUCCGUUAUGUGCUUUAAUUAAUUUUAUUUUAGUUAUUUCACAUAUAGGGGAAACUUAUCCCGAGGAUUUACUAGGCCAAGCUAGGUUCAGGGGCUACGACCCUGCAACGUACUUGUUUAGGUUUCCGUUAUGUGCUUUAAUUAAUUUUAUUUUAGUUAUUUCACAUAUAGGGGAAACUUAUCCCGAGGAUUUACGAGGCCAAGCUAGGUUCAGGGGCUACGACCCUGCAACGUACUUGUGAGUAGGCAAUUUAUUUUUAUAUCUGUACAUAAUUAUAGUUUCCAAACUUUCAUAAAUGCAUCACUUUGCAUAUAUAUUGCCAAAUAAUUGACAACUGCGAUAUAAUUGUGAUAAAUGCUGCUAUAUGGUUGAGAUAUUACUGUCAUGGCAUUCAUACAUAUUUGUAUAUGCUCAUCUUGCUGCACCCCGGUGUUAGUACUCGCCCUAUGGCUAGGGCCAAUCCUUCACGUGUAUGUUCACAUCGCACCAUUCGCUUGCCUUGGAUCCAAGUUAGGUGCCAAUCAUGUCGGGUAGAUUGCAUUAGGCAAUCCGACUGGUAUGUGACCAUGCUUCUGCACUAGCCUUCAUGUGAUCUUAGUACUAGAGCAUAUUGAUUACACCCAAUCAUGUUCGUGUCAGAAAUUAUCUGUUCAAACUUGUGUGUGUCAGCUUAGAUGGAUGAGCACUUAGCUAUACUUGAUUAUCACAUGAUUAUAUUAUUGUGGCAUUUGAUACAUCAUAACUUGGCAUAUAUUUGGUCAUAACUCAGUUAUAGUAUUGUUGAUUUAUUGUUUACAUACCUAUGUAGUAUGUUUUAAGGAAACUAUACUUGUUUUACGGCGAGGGGUUAGUAUAUUCAAAGAUAGAGGUUUUCUUAUAAGCAUUGUUUUGCUGACUCACUCAACUUUGUUUUUCGCCCCUCCAGGACCUAGAUAGUUGUACUAUUUAUGGCACUCGAGGAAUCUCGGCAGUUCUGACAUUUCCUUCUGUUUAAAUGUACGAACUUAUCAUUGUUAUGUAAUAAGUGUACUUUAGUUAUUUUGACUACUUUUCUUUAAUCUCACUGUCUAUUACGCUCUGAAUAAUUGUAGUGGGUUCACCCCAUGAUUGCGCACUCUUUCACUGUUUAGUUCUAAUUAGUUUUAAUUUUAUUCACUUACCCUUAUGGUUAUGUCACCUCUCGAUGAUGGUCAGCAUGCUUCGACCUUUCCAGGUCGGGGUGUGUCAGUUUGGUAUCAAAGCAUAGGUUUAGACAGUCCUGCACUUCCUAGUGUGUUUUAACUCUUGUUUUCUUAUGUCAGAACCAUGCCUCCUCGUAGAGAGCUACGUUCUCCAGCUAAGAAUAACUUUCCGGACUUUAGGCAGUUUGGUGAGGCUAUCGCUAAUGCUAUUUAGUCUUCACUCCAUCCUACCCCAAGGAAUACUCUGGAUAUUGUAUCUCGCCUGAAGAUUAAUGAUUUCUUCGGUAAUGAAGGAUUGGAGAAGUCAGAGAUAUGGUUCGAUCAUGUGGAGAAGAUCUUUCGAGUUAUGCAUAGGCAGGGUAAUCUUCCUCUAUAGAGAUGGGUCGAGACAGUGACCUGGUUCUUUCUGUUAGGAGCAGAAUCUUGGGGGGAUCAUGAAAGGAAAUCAUUAUCUGAUGAGGAUUUUAUAAAAUGGGAUGUUUUCAAGUGGAUAUUUCAAACUAGAUUUGUUCAUUCGGAGUAUUUGGGUAGUAAGAAGAAUGAGUUCACAGACCUGAGGCAGGGCAAAAUGUCAACCACUGAGUAUCAUCAAAGGUUUACAGACUUAUCUCAUUAUUG
rnacentral:lncRNA from 1 species